rnacentral:ncRNA from 1 species
AGAUUCUGGCCUAUAAGAAGCAAACAGCCAGGACGGUGGCCAUGGAAGUCGGAAUCCGCUAAGGAGUGUGUAACAACUCACCUGCCAAAUCAACUAGCCCUGAAAAUGGAUGGCG